UUCACUUUUGUACAACAGAAGCUAACACAGUAUUGUGAAGCAAUUAUACUCCAAUAAAGAUCUAUUAAAAAACAAACAAAAAAAAAGGAAAUGCGAAUCCAGUCCAUCCAUGGUGCAAUGCUUAAGGGCAUAACCUGAAAGCAGCUGCCUGGACUUGACUCCUGGGAUACUACUUAACUUGCUGUGGUCUUAGGCAAGUGAUUUCACUGAUCUGCUCAACCCUGAGCAAGUUACCUGUCUGUGCUUCAGUUCUUCCAGCUGUAAAAUAAGGAAAGGGAUAUUGAUGAACUAAGGUUUUUGUGAGAAUUAGGUAAAAUAAGACAUAUAAAAUGCUUCAUUAUGAGUGAAAACAAUUCCAUCUAUAGUAAGCAUUGUAUAAUUUCUUGCUGCAUUACUUGGUAUUACUCCUGAGGUGUUCAAGAAGUAUUUGGACUAUGUCUUGGAGAAGCUGUAGGAAGGAUUCUUGUGAUGCAGGUGAGGUAAAGCUAGAUUUCCUUCAAGGUCCUGGAUUAGUCAGGAUAAGCUAAAUUAUGCCAGUGUAACAAAUAAACCUUGAGAAUCUCAAAGACUUACCUGAAUCAAGGUUUACUUCUUGCUCGCAGAUCUAAUACCAGAUCUAAUACAAAUCGGACAUCUCCCUGCACACUUCUUCUCCGUAGGAAGUGACUCAGGCUUCUGCAAGCUUGAGGCUUGGCCAUCUCAGCAACUGGCCUCCACAGUCGCCAUGGUAGAAAGAAAGAUCAGCCUGGAAGUGACACAUCACCUUGCUUACCAUGCAUUGGCCAAAACUAGUCACAUGGCCCACCUGAAUUUGGGGAAAUGGUGGUGGUAAACUAAGAGAUAUGGAUAUAGAUAUGAAUAAGCAGAUAUCUUUAAACCUUCUAAAGCUGAAACUCUAAAUAGACCUGUCUCCAUUCCCACAUGAGCUGUCCAGUUGUGUGAAAAAACUGGUCCGGAACCACUGGAACUCUCUCAAAGUCAUCUUAAUGAUCUUCUUGACUAUGUGCAUUUCUUAAUGGAAAACAAUUAUUUGAGACUAAAGCUAAAAUGCCAGUUAAAUGAAUUGUCCUAUGAUGACCAGAAUUAUCCAUUGGUCAUAUUUUCAAGAUGAAUAACUAGAAAAAAGUUACCCUGAAAAUUAGCCUAUGUCUUAAUAAAGAUCACUAAUUUCUUAAGCCCUGUAGUGUAUAUAUUAUCAGCAUCCGUUGAUUAACAUGUCCCAAACUUGACAAUUUUUUCCUUCCCACCUCUGGAUGGCUUUACCACUUCAUCACAGACAGAACUCACUCUGUUUAUCUGACCAAAAAGAUCUGCAGAAAAGUUACAUUUAAAGACAUGAUCAUAAGAACUUUGAUAGCUAUCUAUCGUCAGUUUUUCUUCCUCUGAGGGGAGAGAUAUUUCCCUUGGUUCUCUCUCUUACCUGGUCAUUAUUUUUAACCUCCCAGUUAAAGGGUCUCACUUCACCCUUCUUGCCAUCUUAAGAGAAAAAAGAAAGAAAUGAGAGAAGGAUACGUGUUCAGUCUGUGUUCUCAGAGUCAAGUUAAGGGGAAUCAGGGAGAAAGAUCGGACAGUUUCUUUUCAAAGGAACUAACAAACGAAAGUGAUAAAAAAGCAAACUGACUGAAUCAUCAGCCAAGUUUCAGAUGGUUCAGCCUGACAUGGCUUUUGAAGAAUUCAAAAGCACACAGUGAAUCAUCACGCUGGCCUCAUUGACAACAAUGCCUGCUUUAAAUAAGAUAAACAAGUCUGGUUGGGAACGUUGCAGUAACUCACCCCUUUCUGCAAAGACAGAGCAACUCUCAGGGUAAAGUUGCCCAAAGCUCAAAGGGCUGCACUUCAUGGAGCCAGAGCUGCCUUAUGGGAUCUGAGAAAGCACCCUGCUCCGAGCCUUGAUCUCCGGCUGCUCCCCUGCCGCUGUGAUUGGAGCCUUUCAAGGCUUUGUUUUGGGUUGAGUUUGGGGAGCGGUUGGCCAGAUCUGUUGCUUGAUGAAUGUCUUCACUUUAAUCUGCAAGGCAAAGCCAUACGCUUCAAAGAAAGGCAGACUACAGGAAUAAGGUCAGUGUUCUUUGAAGCCAAGGUUCAAAGAUGAAAUAGCAGUCCCAGUGAAAUGACAAUGUUUAUGAACACACAACCACCUUGACUCUGCAGCCAGGCUGCUCGUGGAGUUCAUGCACCACAAGCUGAGGGGCUGCAAGCCACCCAGGCCUUCCACAGGCACCGAGGCCCUUCUCGUCUCCUGGCCUGUCACUUCGUGCAGCACAAUGAACCCAAAGUGGAGAUUUGGUUUCUCCAUCCUAAUGGAGGUUGGGUGGUCCCCCAGCCAAACCAAUGCUGUAAGCCCUUCAAGGGCAAGAGCUGUGUCAUGAAUUAAUGUGGUGUCCCUCUGAGUGCCAAGCCCAGUGCUCAGCUUAAUAAAUAUGCCAUGACUCAAGUUCCAUCUUGCAGAGCCACUCGAUUUCAGGUCAGCGUUUAUGCUAAACAAGGACCCUUGAAAGGCUGCAAGGUGGAGGGAAUGUUUAUCUCAUAGGACUGGGGGCUGAGAGUCAGUCCCACACCAGUUGUGGCAGCUGAAGGGAUGACUCAGUGAUGGGGAUACCUCAGUGAUGAACACCACUUUUGAAGAGGUCCAGAAAGAUGGCAGCUCUGUCAUUUUCUUCAUCGAGACAUGGCCCAGGCAGGAGGGUGAGGCCCAAGCGACACCAACCACUCCCCUAAAGAAAGAUCGUCAACAAUUGUCUUAUUAUUUAUUUAAAUCUUUGAUGCAUAUUUUUCAAUUAAUAAGUCAACAUUCUUUUUGAACCCCCAGUUUGGGGUCUCUGUCCCCCAACUCUGGGUAACCUUUUACUUCUCAGAGAAAAUAGAAGUUGUAUCGCGUGGAGGGGUUAGGGCGCGUGCUUUGCAGCCAGACUGCAUGGGGCCCGGUCCUCGACCCACCACGUGCUCCAUGAAUGGCAAGUUGCUUACCCUCUGUUAGCUUCAGUUCCUUCAUUGUAAACUGGGGUUGUAGGGAGGAUUAAGUGAUGUGAUGUAGAUAAUGAACUUAGCGUGAUGCUUGAUGCAAAGUAAGCACCCAAUAAAGGUGGAAAUUACUAUUAUUUUUAACUCAUCUGCUUUCCUUCUUUAAUUUUUCCAAUAGUUUUUAUGCACCCUGAAAUCUUUCUGUCUCUCAGGCCUUACACCUACUCCAUCAGCAAAUCCUGCAGCACUUCCUUUGACAUAUCCCAGGAAUCAGGUCCCUUCUCACCCUCUCCACCAUCGCCUCCAUCACCUCUCACCUGGAUCACUGCAAUGAUCUCCACUCCCCACUCUUGCCAUUUUAUGACUUGUUCUCCACACAGAAGCCAAAAUUAUCUUUUAAAAAAAUGUAACCCAGACUAUAUCACCCCUUCACUCAGAACUUUUCAUUGUUUUCCAUCUUUCCCAGUGUAAAGUCCAGACUUUGGCCUUCCAGGCUUCGCCUGAUGUGGUCUCUUCCAUAUUUCCCACCACUCUUUCCCUUGCUUAGUCCACUCCAAGUAGCUGGCAUACUUGUUUUUUCUUAGAACGCAGGGAACAGCUCCCACAAAGGGUCUUUGCACUUGCUGGCCUUUCUAGAACGUCAUGUCCAGCCAACACAUGCAUAGCCCAAUCCCUCACUUUCCUCACGUCUUUGCUCAAAAUCAACCUUAUGAGAGGAGCAGCUGUAUCCUUAAUUUCACACCCCUUCUUGUCCCUCUAAUUCUCCUCACCUUGCUUCAGUCUUAGUAGCAUUUAUGAGCACCUGACAAAUUAUACACGUAUCUGCUUAUUUUCUGCUUUCCCACUAGGAUGUAAACUCCAGAACAAGCAUUUUGUCUGUCUUGUUCCUGACACCAAGAACAGUGCCUGGCAAUGACAAGUUCUCAACAAAUAUUUGUUGAAUCCUUCUCUCUUUCCCUCUUAGCUCAGCAAAUAAAGGACCCUUAUCUCUUCCACAUCUCUGUGCUUGAUUCUCUCCCUUCCCACCUUCUAAAGGCACCGGCCCCUUUUCUCAACCAGGAACCUGUUCACCUCCUUCAUCGUAAAAAUCCUCCCCUCACCCCUUCUGUUUCAAUAGCUGUCAACUCGCACACCUUCCAUUGCUGCAAAUCUUCUCAGAAGAAUGGCCGUCUGCCUGCCCCCCUACUGCUCCCUCUCAGCCAUCAGCCCUCAUCCUCUGCCCAUUUCCAUGGACUCUGUUCCCUCAGAGGUCGCCGCUGCCCUCUGACCCUGUUAGUCCUCCUCCAGCUGAACUUGACUGACCUUUCCACCUCGUCCUCUCUCCUUGAGAACAGUCUUCCCUUAGUUGUGGAAGAUGCUGUUCUUUCCUGGUUCUCUUUUAUUUAUUUGUCUGUUCUUCCUCCCCUUCUCUGCUAGUUCUUCUUCCCAUUUGCAUUUGCCAGAAUUCCAUCCUCUGCUCUCUUUACAUUCCCCUCUGCACAUGUAUGCCCCCCUUUUUCUUUUCUGUGAUGUAGGAACGUGCUUCUCAAGCUUGAGCCUGUAUCAGUGUCUCAUGGAAAGGUGAUGAAAACUUCUCCACUUCAGAACAGACAAUAGAUCACUCCACUGGCUAAGGCAUUACUUAUCUGACCAAAAUGGCUCUAGGAAAAAGAAUCUCUGUGAUUUCAUCAACUUUUCCUACUGUUUCUUCAGUGCUAGGCUGAUGGGAUAAUCACCAAUGCUGUGAAUCACAAAACCGUUUUUUGCUGUCAUAUACAUGGAAAUAUUUGAUUUGUUUAUAAUUGAGCGGCCAGUAGUGUUUCCCUAGAGAGGAAAAGAGUAGUGGAAAUUUACUUACAAGUGAAAAUAAAUACAGAGUUCCAAUUCCUAACAUACAAUAUCCAACUUCAGUAGAAUACACCUUCAUCUUUGCUAAUAAAAUCUCCUGUGCUUAAACAAUAAAGUUAAGAAAAAUAGAAUUUUCUCUUUUUCUUCAAAGUCACACUUGUCCCUCUUUGCCUGUAAACAGAAGGAGUUUCUGGGUGACAGGGUGGGGGACAUGUCUGGAUGUUGUAUAGGUAGAGAAAAACUAAAGGUAAAAUCAAGGCGGAAUAAUGAAUUGUGUUCUUCUGGAACUAAAGGAAUUAGGUAUACAGGAUCCUCAAAAAAUAUAGGAAUUUGACAGGAUGGAAUGCAAUAGGCUGUUUUUCCUUUUUAAUUUAAUAUAUUUUCUGAAUAUAGUAUUCUGGGAUUAUUGCUACAAAAAGAUGACACAAAUAGUAUUACCAUCAUCCUUCCUCAAUCCUAUUAGAUAUUAUCCAAAUAAGUUCCUCAAUUCUCCGCUUUCAAUAUUUCAAUAUGGAGACACAGGCUUUGGUGAACUAUAGCAGGAAGACCAAUAAGAGAAGGAUGGGGAAACUGACUAGAAAAUUAGAGCUCAGUACCCCAGCCAUUGUGCCAGUACAGGAAUUUUGCCUCAAGCUGAGCUUCCUUUGCCCUUUAGAAAAUCAGAAUUGUGAUGAGCCCAAGAUCUGAGGAGGAAGUAUUAAAUAGACAUGCUCCCCAACAGAGGGCCUCCUCACACUAACUUUGUGAGGUUUUUUUUUUUAUUUCUUGCAUGACUUGAGAGGUAUUCAAAACAUUCCAUCUGUGAAGAAGCUGUUACUUUGGCCCUAGAAUUCUGCUUGCACAUCUCAUGCUGCCUUUGGUGAGACUGAGGAGUGAAGACCCUCAGCUAAUGGGAUCGUUCUUUUUUCUUCUGAGUAUCGGCCUCUGGGGUAGCGAGGCUCUCCAUUCCUGAACUGGGGAGGUGAUGUCUUUUAAAUGUGCAUUUGGUUAUAUAACGGUGUCACUACUUUACGGUGACAUUGCCCAUUCUAAAAUUAAAACUGAGUAUUCUGUCCCUUCACUGAAAAAUCCCUGGUUCUAGUCCCUGAGAAUAUCUGAGGGGUUAAAGAUCACUGUGGUUUCUGUGCAAAAAGGAACAGCAGUGGAAAAGGGGGGAUGCAUUCUGUUAGUGGAUGUAAUUCAGAUCAUGUUCAAAAACACAGAUAAGUCAAAAUCAAAGAAAACAAUUGGAGUCCUCUCUGAUUUCCAGCAGCUUCCACCUUCCCUCAUUUUUCACGCCUUGACCACCACCCAGACCUUCUUUGUUCCCGACCCUGGACACAGAUGCCCUUGUAUUUUCUGCUACUCCAGCUCACCUCUCAGAACAGGCUCAGACCCAAACUUGGAGACCAGAUGAAAUCUGGGCUCAGGACAGCUUGGAAUGGGGGUUCAUGCUGGAGUGACCCUUCUAGCACCUGCCACCAACCCAGAGAGACCAUCCCUAACCCCCCUUUCUAAAAUACCACACCCUCCCUUGUGGGUGACUAUCUACUCCCUUAUUCUGCACCAUUUUCCUUCAUAACACUUACCACCACCUGGAAUUAUGUACUUGUUUCCUUGGUUAUUUUCUGUCUCCCCAGGAGAAUACAAGUGACGUGAGGGCAGGGACACUGUCUCCAACUUCAAACAGUAUAUGUUGGCUGCAUGAAUGAUCCCAUUCAGUGUAAGGUUUGGCCAUAUCCCAGCAACGAUUCAUAAGGCAUUGGUACCACCGAUUGGUAUUCCCUCUAUCUAGAAGAUUCUCAUCUCUCCCCACAAACCCACUACACCCAUUCUUUAUCUCCUGAAUCUCUGUUCAGCCUUCUAAGUCCUCUCACAGUGGCCACAGUCAAGAAAUAAUCCUUCCUUCCUCUGUCUCAUGAAAUCUUUGGCUCUUACGUUAGUCACACAUACCCUAAUCCAGUCCUCCAAAUGGGUAGUGAUUAAUUAAUUAAUUGUGCCUUAAGCAUCAAAUAUGUGAAUGAAUGAAAACUAAAUGACCGAAUUUGGGGCUAAGCAGAUUUCCUGGACAAGGAUUGAAUUCUAAUCACUCUCUAUAAACAACUACAAUAUCAUUUCUUUAGAGGUUACUUAUGGAAUUAUUUUGGUUCAAAUACUGGAGUUAUAAUCACUUCCUUGGUAGAUAUAUGCAUAAGCCAAAAUGUAGAGUUCCUUUCCUAUUCUUUUGAGAAAUGAAUGGUUUUGCAUUAUUACAUGUGCUAAGGCUUUGUCUAGACACCAUCUAAUACAGAGGUGAGUAAGGCAGAUAAUUCAAGCCAUUACUACCAAAUAGCAGAAGCAAAAAUGGAGUUUUUCCUUUAAUUAUCCAAGCAAUUAGCUGAAUCCCUCACUUAAGGUUUCCUAGGGAGACACCAUCCAAAUCUCAUAAACGCAUUUGACUCACACAGUAGUCAGCAAAGACUGGGCACCAGCUAAUCCUCUCUGUCCGAGUUGAAGCACAUUUCCAAAACAGAGGUGAGCAGGUGUUCUUAAGCAUCCAAAAAUGGCAUUUUCCACUGAGUAUGUUGGAGGGACCUCCUCCCCUCCUCUUUUCCAUCUUCAUGAUGAUUUGCACUUAGGGUCUUUUUCAAUCAAGAGACUUCACGUUUUCAUGACAUUAUUUGGUGACUAGUAAUGAGAGGUUGAAAAAAUAAAAUUAACACUGAAAAAUUAGAGUUUCCCUUUAUCAGGGCACCAUUUAGCCAAUGAAAAGUAAAAGGGCAUUAGGAUUUUGAAUCCUUGAAAAUUUUUCAUGGUAUCUUUCUUACAAGGUCAGUAUUAGUUAAGGUUAAUUAGUUGUUGUAACAAACUCCAACAUAUAACACAAUAGACAUUGUUUUUGUUGCUCAUAUAGUGCCCAAAAUGGGUGUAAACACGGCCUCUUUUCCAUCUUGUGACUCCUCCAACUUAUGGCUUCCAAGGUUGCCAUCAAAGGGGAUCGUGUGUAUGAAGUUUUCAGGGGCCAUAACUGGAAAGGUAUGUUUCGUUUCUGCCUACAUCCUAUUGCUGGGACUCAGUUACAGGAACUUGCCUAACCACAAAGCAUCCUGGGAAAUGAAGUUAACCGCCUGCCUAGGAGGGGGAAAUGGGAUUGGUCUUUGCCACAGUCUUUGCCACAGGACUUAACCUCAGCCCAGGACAUUCUUUCCCCGGUCUUUCUGAUGGACGUAUACUGUGGGAAGACAUUGUAUGUUUUAGACAGUUUCCCAAUCUUUCUCUAUUGACUUAAAAAAUAAACUCUUGACCUGGAGUGGAAUAAAAGUAGCUCAAGGAAAAAGAAAAACAAAGUCCAAAAGACUGAAGACAAAUCUCUUCCUUUUAUAGGGACUCUGGGGGCUUCUAGUCUGGCUUUUACAUAACCACUUCGGCUUCUUUCUCGUAGAACAUAGUCCCAGGCCAUGGCAGGUACUGAGAUCAUUAUCAUUAUGAUGGUGCUCAAUUCCCCAAUGCUAUGUACUUUUUGGAGGCAGAAAAUGGACCCUGGGCAUAAUGCUUCCCCCGAGGAAGCUAAAAAGACAUGAAAUUGGAACAGCUCUGGAAGUCAGACCAGAACAGGAGAGAAUGUAUAUUUUGGAAGUAGUAACACACACUCAGAAAAUCAGGCCAUUUUUCUGAAAGAGAGGAUGUGAUGAGACAGAAAAUUAUAAAUUGCAUCAGUAUCAGAAAAUUAUAAAUUGCAAUGGAAAACAUACAAUUUAAACACAUGGACAUUUCGGUUCAUUAUCUGAAUCAGAUGGGUUUAUUUUGAGUCACCCCAACUCUCUUAUUCAGCCACACUUUGGUACUUUUGAGACCAUGGACUAAAAGGAGGCUAAGAGGCUUUAAAAAGUAUCAAACUUCUGAUGUUCAUCACAUCAGCACCCAGCAUGUGACUAAUCAAGGUAAACUAGUCACAAGGGAAAACUGAAUUGUAAGCGCAGGUAGAAAAAUAAAACUAGCAACUUCGUAUCGAGAUUGAAUUUAUAUGAAAAUAUGAUUCUACUCAACAUUGCCUUAAGUAUUCCAUCUACUUUAGGAAGCACUAAAAGCUGUGUGCUUCUGUUAUGUACAUGUGGGCAAACGCACUCCACAUAAUUCAUUCUGUACCAUAUCUGGGAUUUUAUAAAAAUGUUUUCCAAAGGCUUAAAUUUCUGUUCUGUAUUCAGUUCUUAGGAGAAGGAAUUGAAUAAAAUGCCAAGGUCUUUCAAAUAGCUUCAUUAAUUUAUGAACCUCAAUCAUUUUUCUUUUCUUUACCCUCUGGAGAGGAAACUGAAGAUAAAAGAAAAAAGAGUGAGACUUAAAAUAUAAUGCAUUCGCACUGGAAAAUACGACCAUGCCUCAUUUUUAAAUUAUUUUGUCUGGAUUAUUUCAUUCAUCCUGAUCAUUUGUGAAAUUUUAUCAUGAGAUUGGCAGGUGAGGUACUGACCCUGCUUCUAACCCAACAUGGACUUGGAGAAAGUGGCCCCCGCGCCUUCCAGCUGUGACCUUGGACCUUUGCUCUGGUCCCUGGAACAGGGCACACAUAUUUUUACACUUGAGUUUGAUAGGUUUAAAAAACGGGAGUGACUAACUGGGAAGAUUUAAUGCUUUGAAGGGGGAAGGAAAGGAGUACACUGGGUGACAGCAAUUCACUCUCCAGAGUGGAAUUUUCUCACUUUCCUACUGUUUAUAUUUGACACGAGAUCCAUUCACAAACAUCUCUUGUAAGAUGCUGCUUCUCGGCAGGGCAAGCUCUUUGGGGGCUGCAAACUACACUUAUCCAUCCAACUAUCAAGCUUAUCUCGUGGCUGUUCUUACUGACUUACUCUUCACCCAGAAUCUCUGUGAGGACGAGACAGUGAGAACCAGAAAGGACUGUGAUUAGGGAGAUGAUACUGUGAUAAUUAGACACGGAGUUUUCAAAGGUCAUCUCAGCAUCUACCUUGGCAUAGAGUUCAGCGAAUACAAACUUGACUUCCUCCAAGUUCUUUUCUCCCCCUAAACCCAGCCACACAUCGUUGGUUCUGUCCCUCUGAAGUCCCUCCAUGAAUGCAGAGGAGCCCAUAGAGAAUCCCACCCAUAAUGGGCCGUCUGAGGCCCCUGGCAUCCAAGGCCCAUGGCAUUGUUGAGGGAGGACCCAGCCGCUGCUUCCUAAAUAUAUUUGCCACUUGGUUACCAGCUGGAGAUGCAAAGAGAGGCAGAGAAAGAGACAGAAGGCACGGAGGGCUGCGUUUUCUAAAUGGUUUCAAGCCACUGGCCUUUCAACAACAGCUAACGCAGAACAGAUGGCUGUGCUACGCUCGGCUGGCUUUCAACUGAGGGGCUGCCUCUGUCCAUGAUUAAUCACCUGUGCUGGGGGAUGGCACUGGGGCAAAAGGAUAACAUGGCCACUUCCUUCCUCCCGUCCUACAAACAAGAUAUCCUUUUACACCAUGAGUCCUACAGAAGUUACCUCUUCACUCUUGUUUCCUCUGUGUGGAUGGGGUCUGAGAUGGGGGAGUUGUGAUGCAGCACACAUGGAAUUCUCUGCUGGUUCAGCCCAACUGGAAAAGAACAUGAUUCCAGCUGCAGGAUCUUUGAGGGUGAAGGGGAGUUACUCUUCCACAUUGAUCUUUGUUUUCUCCAUCACGGGUUCAUUUUCAGCUCAACAGCAAAAACCCCAAAAGCGGGGGAGUGUCGUACCCCAUACCAACUCUUGUCUGGAGAAGUUUGGGGAGAAAAUCAGGUCAGCCACAGCCAGGGAGGAUUAAGCAGGUGGAUUUGUGGCUGGAGAAGGCCAGCGUGUGCUCUAGGCUAGACAGAAUGUAUUAGUUCUCUAUUUCUACGUCACAGAUGACGACAAACUUCGGGCUUCAAAUGACAUCCGUUUAUUAUCUCACGGUCUCCUGGGGUCGGGAGUCUGGGAAGUUUCUUCUCUGCUCAGGCCCUGGCAAGGCAGAAAUCAAGGUGUCAGCAGCUUUUUUCUGCAGUUCACACUCCUCUCCCAGGCUCACAUGUGGUGGUGGCAGAACUCAGUUUCUGGGGGUUGCAGGACUGAAGUCCCUGUUUGCUUGUCAGCUGCCAGCUGGGGCCCCUCUCAGCCCCUGGAGACUUGAAUUUCUUACCACGUGACCCCCUCCAUCUUCAAAGCCAGCAGUGGAGAAUCUCUUUCUUCAGAAAGAACCCAGUCCUUUCUAAGAGCUCAUGUGAUUACGUCUUAAGUACUGGUUAAUGUCGCUAAAAUGUAUUUUGUUUUUGUAAAUUAGGACUUUAUGUAGUUAGAUUUCCAGUGGUCAUAUGCUUCAACUUGAAUACUGAGAAUGAACAUUAUUCUGGUGAAUAUUUAAUUCUGGGGGUUAAGAAAAUAUCAAAAGGCAUGUCCUAGGCACCAAAACAAAAAAACAAAAGAAACUGAGGAGGGUACAGGCACAACCAGAUUGGCUGUAGACACCACAGGUCACUUCCAUUGAUCACAGAGGCCCAGCCUUAGAGGGCAAAUCCAAGCAAGUCAGUUCAGUCUUUGGUGGAGACUGGAAAUGAAUAGCUUUCAAUAUGUGUUUGAACCACAGAAUUUUUUUUUUCAAAUGAAAUGUACGUGGAAGUCCAUUUUAUACAAAUUUUUUAAAUUUUACAACAGUCUUAUAGGACUUAUUGUGUGCCAGACACUGUCCAAAGUGCUUAAAAUCAAAUCCUCAUAACAGUAUGAAAUGGGCAUCCUUCUCAUUAUUGUUGUCAUUGUCAUUAUUCACAUUUUACAGGUAAAGAACCUGAGCUGCAGAAAGAUGAAAUGCCUUGCCCAAGAUGGCAGAGAGGAUUUUGAACCCAGGAAAACUAGGCUCACGGUCCUUGAGCACUUGGCAGAGAUGUUGUUGUCAUGGAGACAGCUUGGAGGGUGGAGUGGUCCGAUCUCCUAGCUGCUGAGCCCCUCCCUCCGUUUUUCCCUGCACCCCCUCCCUGAGGCUUCCUCAGUGCACACCCCGCCCAGCAGACACUUUGAAAACCAGAGGUUUGAAUCACGCACACGCUGCCUCCAUGGGGCCUCCUAGAGGCUACUUUCGUUUGCACUGUUUCUCAGAGCGCUUUCAGGGGACCCCCAUUAACCCAAUUCCUCAGCCAGGACCUCUCCUUUGCCUUCUUGCCACAAUCUUUGCUGAAGCACAUCUCACCCACUUCUGCUGCCACUCUGGCCUCCUUACGUGUCUGGCCACCUCUGGUUUUCCCCUUAUCCUAUUCCACGUACUAUACACUAUGACUUCCUCUUCCUAAACCCCCUCAGAACAUGGCAUAUCCUGUUCGUGAUGCUGCCCUGGUUCCCUAGUGCCCACCACCUCUUAGAUUGGCAUCUGCAGCCCUCUGGGUCUGAUUCCACUGAUCUUUCUCAUGACUGUAAACCAAAUGUUCUAGGCAAGUGAGAUAACCAUCCCUCCUGGCGCACAAGGUGUUCACUUACCACCUCUAGGUCUUUGCUCCAAACUCCCAGAGCAUUUCUUCCAUGGGGCGUUCAAUUUUCUACCGGCUGUGAUUAUUACAUACUUUUUCUAGGCUACAAGCUCCUUGGAAAUAAUAGACAUAUUCAUCUUUUAAUUCUCCCCUGAACACAACAGCCACUCACACGGAAAAGUAUGAGACAACAUUCUCCCCAAAGUCCUGGGAAAUAGAUUGUUAUCAUCCCCAUUUAACAGAUCAGUAAAUUAAGACUCAGAUACGAGUGACUUCCUCAUCUCCAUAGAAAAAAGAAAAGGGCAGAUGGGAGCUGACACAUGGACCUGUUGAUGGAGGGGAAAAAUGCAAAAAUACUUGGAGACAAAUUGCUCUCUGGAGGCUUCAGUUAGAAUCAGCCUUAUUAUCUUCAUAGAAUCAACAACCACAACAGUUUAUGACUACGAGUGAUGGUUCAGAACUGGGGUGCACACCGCAGUUACCCAGGGGUAGCUUUUGUAAAAGGUCCACACCAGUCCUUCUGGAGCAGAAUCUCUGCAGAAGAGGCUUACCUGUGAGUGUUCCAGAAAAAAAAAAUUAUUCCCUGAAGACUCUGGUGUGUUCCCCUGUUUAAGAACCACCAAUUCGCAAGGGUCCCAAAGGCCCCAGUCUCCCAAAUUACCCCAUUCGAUGUGUAAAACUCCAUCAUUAGAGACUUGCUAAGAUACUGCUCUCUACUUAAAUGCAAGUUAACGUUAAAUCUUAUCACUUAUUCUGUAAGGAUUCAAGAAGCACUACUAUGUGACAGGCCGGCUGACUCUGUCUAUAUCUGUCUUAUGGCUCUUCUCAUGUGUAUAUUAUCUGAUAUCUGCUCUCUCUACUGUUAGGUUAUUUCUUGCCAAAUAGCCCCAGAAUUUUUUCAUCUUCUCCUCCAUCUUAGCAGCUGGCUCUUGUACAUAGUGAGUGCUUUUCAUUUGUGAAAUGUAUGAAUCCAUGAAUCAUGGGACUCACACCUCAUCAGGAAUGAGUUUACAAGCUUCUUUCAAGGAGCAGACUUUGAUAGACUCAGGCACCGCCAAUUUCCAAGCCAGCUGUGCAAGGCAUGAACAGUCUCCCAGCCUUGGUUUCCUCAUCUGUGAAGGGGGCCCAAAAGCACAGCUCCUGGCUCAUCGUAGGUGCACAAGACAUGUCCAUUGUCACCUCUCCUUGUGGAUUAAGCCCCUGAUGGUGUAUCUGAGCAGUGGGUGGGGAGGUGGAAACAGGGGCGUGAAAUCCUGUCGUGUAGACAGCCGUCCACCCUGACGUCCGGCCUGCCCACUCCGCUCCUGUGUGCAUUCCACAGGGGCAGGACUGAGCGGCCUGGACCGUCCUUGGCACACGAGUAUGUGACUAUAAAGCAUGCCGUAACCUUGGAAUCCAGACAUCAAAAGGGAGAGCUUCAGUGCCUGAUAAAAAUAUGUGUUCCUCUCAGCAAACCACUCCAAACGCCGUCUUCUCCAUCCCACUGGGAAGCUUGUCACUGCUAAUGCGAUUCUUAUGAUUCUCGCUGCUCAGUACCCUCUUGAUCUUUCCUGAGAUCUCUCUGCCCCGAGUGUGUAGGAAACAAAAUGUCCUGUCUGCUGUCCAGAGCUUAAAAUAACAGAUGCUGGGUUCCUGCUGCCACAUUGAAACUUUACUCCAAGGUCUCUCCCCAGCACCCCUGCUCCCGCCCCUCCCCAUGCCCGGAGCAGAAGUCUAGUGUGAGCACCAGACAAAGAAGGGGAAGGAGGCAAGGGGGCAGGGGUGGGGGGAGGGAGGCCUUCUCAGACCACCGCGGGCACUCUUGAGGAUCAAACUGGUUGUUCAGAAAGAUCGACUUCUUAAGUUGUGAGACAUGUUUUAGGGAAAGAUUCUUCCUAUCUCUAAAGAAGAGAACCGCAUUUCCCAAGCGUCACUGCCUAGGAGCAUGUUCGAGGUUGCCCAGCCUGUAUUCCGCACUGGUGAAAGGAGGGCGGUGUGUAUUUCUGUAUGUGCCUUUUUCUGCCUGGGGAAUAAUAAAAUAAGUCCCCCC